UACGGAGGGUGCAAGCGUUAUCCGGAUUCACUGGGUUUAAAGGGUGCGUAGGUGGGCAGGUAAGUCAGUGGUGAAAUCCCGCGGCCCAACCGUGGAACUGCCUUUGAUACUGGCGAACUUGAGUGCGUGAGGGGUAGGGGGAACGAGCAGUGUAGCGGUGAAAUGCGUAGAUAUUGCUCGGAAGGCCAGAGCCGAAGGGGCCCUACUGGUGCGCAACUGACACUGAGGCACGAAAACGUGGGGAGCAAACAGG
rnacentral:rRNA from 1 species